GAAGGACCAGCCGGCGAGAAAAGCUUCGGUCGCAUAAGAGUCAAAAGAAAUAUCCACGUCGCCGCCGCCGCCGCUUGGCGUCUAUAGUUAGGGCGGAAGCCGGGCAAAUCACGCGGUGUUUAAGAGACGGAAAUGCACUUAAAUCACAACCCAAGAGCUGGAAGGAGCCAAGGAGAUACCAUCCUAAGAGCCCAAGAACACUCCCCCCAGAGCUCCAAAGCCCCACGUUUGUCAAGUCAUUCUUACUCAUGGCACUGUGGAAUGGGUGAAGAAGAAAUGAUUCUACAGGGGCAGGCUAGAGGCCUGAAGCUUUGCUGGAUAAAUUAAAUUGUUGCAAUUGUUGUUGAAGCCUAGGAUAGAAGAAGUCAGAAAGCAUUGCUUUAGGCCACUAAAUCCAAUGUUCUGCUCCAUGCAAGAAUCUGAAUUAAAAUGCUGAAUAUAGCUGGAGUUGGACAGCUAAUAAAUAGGAUUCUCUUUUGUGACA
rnacentral:lncRNA from 1 species